GCCCGUCAGAUUACAACUGGCCUUCAGGUGUUGGCCCGUCAGAUUACAACUGGCCUUCAGGUGUUGGCCCGUCAGAUUACACUGGUCCUUACAACUGGCCUUCAGGUGUUGGCCCGUCAGAUUACACUGGUCCUUACAACUGGCCUUCAGGUGUUGGCCCGUCAGAUUACACUGGUCCUUACAACUGGCCUUCAGGUGUUGGCCCGUCAGAUUACACUGGUCCUUACAACUGGCCUUCAGGUGUUGGCCCGUCAGAUUACACUGGUCCUUACAACUGGCUGUCAGGUGUUGGCCCGUCAGAUUACACUGGUCCUUACAACUGGCCUUCAGGUGUUGGCCCGUCAGAUUACACUGGUCCUUACAACUGGCCUUCAGGUGUUGGCCCGUCAGAUUACACUGGUCCUUACAACUGGCUGUCAGGUGUUGGCCCGUCACAUUACACUGGUCCUUACAACUGGCUGUCAGGUGUAAGUGUCAGAUGUAACGGAUUCACUAUCUCUAGUUGAUCUAACUGAUGGGCCAGUGGUGCGUUCAGGUGUAGAGAGAGGAAGACACAGUGCCCGGAGGACCAUGACAAGGUGGGAACACAAAUAUAGAGGGUAGGAGGGGGGAAUAGGGGUCAGGGGGUCAGGUGGGGCAGGAAGGGCUGAGAGGGGGAGUGGGGUGAUGGGAGAGACAUCGAGGAGGUUAAAGGGGUGAGAGAGUAAAGGGUGAACAGAAAGUGUGGGUUGUGGAAGAAAGAGAGAGACCGACCAGUACAGGGCCUGUUUCCUCAAAGAAUCUCAGAGUAGAAGUUCUGAUCUAGGAUCAGGACCCCACCUGGCCCUAUAACCUCAUUCAUUAUGAGCUAAAAGGCUAUACUGAUCGUAG